GCCCUGGUGGCACAAUGGUUAAGUGCUCAGCUGCUAACCAAAAUGUUGGUGGUUCGAACCCACCCAGUGGCU
rnacentral:tRNA from 1 species